AUUGAACGCUGGCGGCAGGCCUAACACAUGCAAGUCGAGCGAGUGGCGGACGGGUGAGUAAUGUCUGGUAAACUGCCUGAUGGGGGGGGAUCACUACUGGAAACGGUGGCUAAUACCACAUACCAUCAGGUGUGCCCAUAUGGGAUGAGCUUGGUGGUGGGGUAACGGCUCACCAAGGCGACGAUCCCUAGCUGGUCUGAGAGGAUGACCAGCCACACUGGAACUGAGACACGGCCCAGACUCCUACGGGAGGCAGCAGUGGGGAAUAUUGCACAAUGGGCGCAAGCCUGAUGCAGCCAUGCCGCGUGUAUGAAGAAGGCCUUAGGGUUGUAAAGUACUUUCAGCGGGGAGGCGUUACCCGCAGAAGAAGCACCGGCUAACUCCGUGCCAGCAGCCGCGGUAAUUC
rnacentral:rRNA from 1 species